UAUUUCUAAACAAUCUAUUGUUAUUUAUUGAGUAUUUUAAAUACUUUUUUGUCAUCCAUUUAAAACAAUUUUUAAAAGUUUUAGACAUAAAUGAACAUGGGAUCGUUACAACUUACAAGGUGAAUGGUGCAGCUACAAAUCUACAGUGUAUUUGAAACUAAGACGUUUCUAGAAUAAUUUAACACAGCUGGGUAAAUUACAAUCGUCAGAAAAUCUGCUGCUAUGGAUAUCUACCAAUUCGUUACAGAACCCCGUGUUCUUGUCAUAGGACAACAAAAGAAAUGGAAGAAUUUGAGAUACGUACAAAAAAAAUGUGUUACUAAAUCUGGUCAGGCAUCUAUUAAAUAAAUUAAGAAAUGCAUAUAUGUUGGUAUCUGAGACUUCUUGCGGCCCAUGAUGGAAAACAGAAGGGAAUUUUAACGAGGACGAUUCUGAGGAGGAUAAACAAGGAAAGGAACACACAAUGGAAGGAGAAAUUAAAGCGUAGGCCAGUUGUAUCUGUGAACUAUUAAUCCUAAGCUGUCAGAAGAAUUGGACAACACUAGUGAACCGCUGACAACAUACAUCGUUAAUAAUUAUGUACGAGUAUUAUGUUAUAUGUAUUAUAAGAAUCAAUUAUUCAUUAAAGAGGUUUAGACCAAAGUGUUAAACUUUCGGGAAAUUUAAAUUGAAAAAAAUUAUACGAAUUAUUUUUAA